GUGCUGGCUUUGGUAUCACAAAUACUAAAGUGAGAAUGACACAGAAGAUCAGCAUGGCACCUGCGCAAGGUGACACGCAAAUCCGUGAAGUGUUCCAUACUUGA